rnacentral:rRNA from 1 species
AUGGACUCGUCGUCGUCGCGCUCGGCGGCCUCCGGGGCCGCGCCCACCGUGUCGUCCGGCACCGUGUUCAUCUCGGCGGCCAUAUUCCUGCUGUUCCUGACGUUCGCCCUCGCGCUCAUCAUCCUCCGCCACUCUUACUUCAGCAGCACCGGCGCGGCGCCCAGUCGGCCACGGGCGUGGAGCGCCCAGAUGGUGGCCCCGCCUCCCAGGGCCAGGGGUGUCGACCCGGAGCUGCUGCGGUCGCUGCCGGUCACGGUACACCGCGCCGCGGACCGAGUCGGAUCGGUGGAGUGCGCUGUUUGCCUGGCUGGGCUCGAGGACGGGGAGGAGGCGAGGUUCCUGCCCCGGUGCGGCCAUGGAUUCCACACCGGGUGCGUCGACAGGUGGCUGGCGUCCCACACCACCUGCCCGCUCUGCCGGGUCACCGUCAGUAAGCCGGACGCGCUUACGUCGACGAGUCGCCCUUCCGUACCGCGGGAGCCGGCGAACUACACAGCGAACCUGCCGGCGAGUGUACUGCUCGGGGUUACAGACCAGGCCACGCUCGACGCGGUCACCAUGGCCACUGACGGAACGAUGGUGAUCGACGUUCCGGAGUCCAGGACCGUGGCACUGGCAGCGACCCCGCGCGACGCGUCCAAGUCUCCGGGCGUGAACAGGCUGAGGUCGGUGAAGAGGCUGUGGAGCUUCGGGCGGCAAGGGCCGUCGGGGUCCACGACGCCCUGCGCCGGCGGCAGCGGAACGGCAGACUUAGAGCAGGGCAUUAGCAUCACCUAUGCAUCCCCGAGAGCUCCGGUCCGGUGUAGCGUUGAGCCGUCGCCCGGAACUGCCGCCGAGAAAUCAACUUCAUCGAGCGGCUAA